CCCGCCCCAAAUGAGCGGUGCCCCCGGCGGGCCCCGGCCGAGGACCCCGCCGAGCCGCGGAGCCGCGGGCGCCCCGUCGCCCCGGCCGCCCCCCGCCGACCCGCUGCGCCAGGCCAGCCGGCUGCCCAUCCGCGUCCUGAAGAUGCUCAGCGCCCACGGCGGCCACCUCCUGCACCCCGAGUACCUCCAGCCGCUCUCCUCCACGCCCGUCAGCCCCAUCGAGCUGGACGCCAAGAAGAGCCCGCUGGCGCUGCUGGCCCAGACCUGCUCGCAGAUCGGCAAGCCCGACCCGCCGCCCUCCUCCAAGCUGAACGCCGUGGCCUCGGCCGGGCAGCCCGCCCCCGAGAAGGAGCCCACCGCCCGCCCCACCGCCCUGAAGCCGCCGGGCAGCGGGGACGCGCCGCCCGAGGACAAGUCCAGCUUCAAGCCCUACUCGAAGGGCGGCGGGGAGCCACGCAAGGAGGGGGGCACGGACAAGGCCGGCUUUCGGGUGCCCAGCGCCGCUUGCCCGCCGUUCCCCCCGCACGCCGCCGCCUCGCCCGGCAGCUCCCGCGGCGCCUCGCCGCAGCACUCCGAGCCCAAGGGCGCCGAGGAGAAGAAGGAGCCCGAGGCGGGCAAGCCCAGCCCCGAGGGGACGGGUGGGGGGCUCGGGCGCGGGGCAGCGGAGCCCGGGGCGCACGGCGAGCCCCCGUCGGGCCGCAAGUCGGAGCCCCCAGCACUGCCGCCGGCCGGCCAUGUGGCCCCCGUCUCGCCCUACAAGCCAGGUCACUCCGUCUUCCCCCUGCCACCCUCCAGCAUCGGCUACCACGGCUCCAUCGUCGGCGCCUACGCCGGCUACCCGUCCCAGUUCGUGCCCGGGCUGGACCCCACCAAGCCGGGCCUGGUGGGCAGCCAGCUGCCGGGGGCGCUGGGGCUGCCGGGCAAGCCGCCCAGCUCCAGCCCGCUCACCGGGGCCUCGCCGCCCUCCUUCAUGCAGGGAUUAUGCCGGGACCCCUAUUGCCUGAGCUACCACAGCGCCUCGCACCUGGGCUCCAGCAACUGCUCCAGCUGCGUGCACGACCCCGGCAGCCUGAAGAGCGGAUACCCCUUGGUGUACCCCACGCACCCCCUGCACUCAGUGCACACCACGCUCUCCUCCAGCGGCACCCCCAGCCUGCCCGGCCAUCCUCUCUACACCUACGGCUUCAUGCUGCAGAACGACCCCCUUCCCCACAUAUGCAACUGGGUGUCUGCCAGCGGACCCUGCGACAAGAGGUUUGCCACCUCGGAGGAGCUGCUCACCCACCUACGGACCCACACGGCCCUGCCGGGGGCGGAAAAACUCUUGGCGGGUUACCCUACCUCCGGGCUGGGCUCCGCAGCCUCCUGCCACCUCCACCUCCCGCCUGCCGCCCCUGGGAGCCCCAACACGUUACCCGCCUCCCUCUCCUUGCGGAGCCCACACACUUUGGGACUAAACAGGUACCACCCCUACGGCAAGAGCCAUUUGCCCACAGCCGGUGCCCUGCCGGUGCCCUCCUUGCCGGCCGCCGGACCUUACUACUCUCCAUACGCGCUCUACGGCCAAAGACUAACUUCAGCUUCUGCACUGGGAUAUCAGUAACUACGGCGGCCCCUUCCCCUGCUCCAGCCCCCUCCUCGCCCCAGCCCCCUGCUCCCUCCUUGGACUGUGUAUUUAUUUACUGUAUGUUAGCUUAAAGCUGGGAAUAUAAGUGCAUUAAUACACCAAUGAAUCAAUGGUAUGCAAAAAGUCUGUGUCCAAAAAAAAAAAAAAAAGAAAAAAAAAGAAAAAAAAUUCUUUACUUUGCAGGUGUGGGGCUUUUCUUUUUCCUUUCUGUUUCUUUUGAAAAAUUUUUUCCCUCCCCCCUUCUUAAUUUCCCCCUUGAGAAAUUCUUGCAUGACUCUUGACACACAAGGAAAAAAAAAAAAAAAGCAUUUUCCUCCUCCCUCUCCGCGUUUAUCAUUCUGGGAUUCUGUUCCUCUUCAUUUGUAAAGUUAACAGAUGUAAUAUUUUUUAAUUUUUUUUUUUUUUCGGUGCCCGCGGGGGCGGAGGGGCCCAGCCUUGGCCGCACCGCCCCCCGGCCCGCGGCGCGGCUCCCUCCUGCGCGCCCCCCCCUCCCCCGCGGCGGGGCAGCGGGCCGGAGCGCGGCCGGCGGCGGGAGGAGCGGCGCCCCCGGGCAGGAGCGGCGCCCCGAGGGCCGGAGCAGCGGGCGGGCGGCGGACCCCGGCCGGGUGAUGCAGAGGUGUCUGCCCACAGACGUACAAGGCGUUGCAGAGACCAGACCGGAGCACAAAGUCUUCGAGGGCUGCUGCGUGCCCGCCAAGAGGAGGUCAGGUCAGGAUGCAGAGGCAAGGGCCGGAGCAGAAGCGAUGGUGGGUGGAUGAGAAGUUUCUCAGCUGCAUAAAGCAGCUUUUCUUUCCACGUGAGCCCUGGUGGAAGCCCCGGAGAAUACAGGCUCUGUGUUUGUCCUCCCAGCCGGAGUGGCGCGGACGCCUCCCGUGCCCCCACCAGCAUCCCCGAGCCCAGCCUGGCCACUCAGCCCAGAGGUCAGGGCUUUGCUCUGGGGGACGCUUCGUGCCACGCGUGCUGAGCGCAGACCCGGAGGGACAGAGCCAUGCUCGGAGAUGGCCCCUGCAGCCACCGCUGCCGCCGGCAGUGUUCCUGCUGCCUGGGGCUGUGUGCUGGAGCUGGGAAGGGAGCAGCCGGCGGCGGUGAUGCGGAGCGGAUGGGGCAGCCUGGGGGUGCUGGCAUGCAAAGCUGCACCCCUGGUUUGCAGCCAUGAGCACAGCCCUGUGCCGGAGCCUGGCGCUGCCCUGGCCUGUGGUUUGUGUCCAGCCAGUUUGAACAGCACAAAUGAUGAGAGGCCUUGGAGGAGGCAAGCGGAGAAGAGCAAAGACCUUGAGGUGCUCAGCGACCCCCCCAAGCCAGAAGAGCAUGGGCAAGCACCCGGGGAGCUGCGGUGACCAGGAAUGCUGAGGAUGUGAGAACACUUUUGUAUGGCUUUGAAUGACGGCAGAAGAGCCGCUGCUGUCACUUCCCUGGCCAUAAAUUGGUGUGUGGUGUGAAUCCUCCCAGCGGCACCAGUGCCAGCUUGCAGCAGCGAUGCACCAGCGUCUUCCCCACUGUACCAGGACACCCGGUUUUGGCACCGCAUGGGAAAUGCCCAGCAUGACCCAUGGCCGUGGCUCCCUGCUUCUUCCACAAUGUCUCAUCCCGGGUGCCGGGGCUGGCUGACGCGUGCAGCUCAGCGUGGCGAUCCAGCACGGGUGCAGAACGGCUGGAAGGCUGCAAACCUCCCCAGUCCUCGGGCUGAGCCCACAGCAGCGCUGGGCUGCAGCCGUUCCCUGCAGAGUGCAGCCCUGCUCGUGCAGAUUUACGCCGGUGCGCAUGUAAGUGAUACUGUUCAUUACUGUGAUGCAUGGUUAAUAGUUAUCUCUCUGUUUAUUAUCAUGAUGAAUAACUGAAGAGUCGUAAUUCUGUAUACACAAAUGUUUCAGCUAAACGCUCACUGGAGAAUGCUGGGGGAGACGCAGGGCUGACAGCUCAGUUUACAGAGUAUAUUCCUGUAGCUCACUUCACAAUAACAAACAGAUUUCCACAGACCAUAAUGUUUUCUAAUACAGUGUUUAUGGAAACCUCCUGGAGCAGCUUUACCAUGACUUCAUCCCACCUUCCAGCAUGGUGCAUGAGGUGGGCCGGGGGGGAUGUGACCUCUGCAAGGAUGGACCCACCUUUGCAGGAAGAGAUGGUGGAACGCCACUGCCGCACCAGCAGAGCUGACCCUGAUGGACUGAGCAGAGCUGGGUGGCACGCUCAACGCUGUGCAGGGUGCAACGCAACCUCCGCCAGAGCCUCAUGGUCCCAAACACCAGAGGUCGUCCCUCCAAGCACCAAGAGCCAGAGCCCUCCCGGUUCAGCAGAACCUGGAGGCAGCUGAAGGACAAGUGGCAUCCCAGGCAUCUGACAGCUUUGGGGGGCUUUUUAACCACCUGUAAACCCAGCUCGCAGACACCCCACUGGAGCAGAGAACUGAAAUGACCUUUUUUUUGUCCCCCACGUCUGCAAGAGGGCAGCUGCCAGCGGCACACGGGGCCAUGCCAGUGCCAGUGCCUGCCACAGCAGCUCGUGCAUUUCUGCCAGCCACCGGUGCCUCGAUGGGAGAGGGAGAUGCUGCUGCUCCAAGGAACAAGGGACCAGUGGGAGCCUGGGGUACUGGUGCCGCCUCCUCUCCCACUUUCGCCCCUGGCCAGGCUGUCCUGCAGCCCCUGAGCUCCACACAGUGCCAGGAGCCCCUUUCCACCACCAGCACUUGGAGAGCAAUCAGCCCUUUCACCAUCCUGGUUCAUGACCCGCACCCAUGCAAGGAUGGGGCUGCUCGUCGCCCCCUCAGUGGUGAAGCUGGCAGCCAGGCUGGGAUACCUGCUCAGCUGGGUAGAGCUCCUGUAGAAGUGACUAAUUGUUUCUGCUGAAGCAAUGGUUAUCUUCACUGGGUUUCAUUCCAGUUCCCUGUGCAGGCUCGGUGAUGUCUGUGGGGCUGGAGCGGGAUGGUGGCCAGGUCCUCCCUCUGAGGUGGGAAGAGCCACGUUCUGUGGAAAACGUCUCUGACGUGAAGCAAAGCGCGAGCCGGGCUCGUGGGGAGCUGCUGAUUUGUCACGGGCAUGGAGCAACCUGAGGUUUGCAAGAAAAUUGUUGCUCAACCUGCCCAGGGGAAUUUGCCGCCCCAAUUGCUGAGAAAUGGAGCCCCAAAGCCCUUGGUUAUUUCUGGGGCUUCUGAACCUCUCGUAGGGUCUGGUUGAAUGUUGUAUUAGGAACAACUGCUUGGAAAGGGCUUGCUGGAUGCACAGCUCGUCCGCUCCUCCAGCUGCAGGGAUGUGCUCUGCCCUGAUUCCUGCAUUGAUAGUUCCUGAACUUUUCUGACUUGUGUGCACCGGCAUGGCUCCGGUGGGGCAAUCCUGCGGCACGCACCAGCAGACCCCUGUACAAGCUGUGCUCCGCUGCUUGCUGAUGAACCUGCCUGGCUUCUCUAGGGGUGAAAAGCCAGAAGGGAGUCCUGGGGCAGGGCUUGGUGAGGUUUUUCCCCAGGGAACACUGUAAGGGCAGCACCAGGCUGUCGGCAGCUGGUUUCCCAGAGUUCCAGCUCCGGCAGUCAUGUCGCUUGCUUUCAGUGCGUCCUGGUGCAAAGCAGAGCCUGCAGCCCUCCCAGCCGUGGAGGAAACUCAGAGCAUUGGGGGCUGUUUUGCCAUUUUGGGGGUCUGGCUCACAUUGCUUGAGCACUGGGGGUUGUGUACAGCACCCGGCACACAUGCAGAUGAGUUUGCGGGGAGGCCAAGGCAGAGCCAGGGCAGGGCUGGCACCUCCAGGGGCUUUGCAGGGGGUGCUCUGUGCAGGCCAGGGCAUGGGGAGAGCUUGGCACCAAGCUGUGGCACAGCCAGAGGGUGGGCAACGGGCACCAGAGCCCCUCCAGCUCCUGGCCUUUGGUUGCUCCAGGUUGCACCCCACAUUGCAUGCUGAUGUCCCUCCACUUGCACCCCAGCACGGCGCAGCGAUGGGCUUUUGGGGAGAGGGGCCAGUUGUCUCCGCGGUGCAGCAUGGGGUGGAGCGGGGUACCAGGGAUGCUGCCAGCAUCCCACAUCCCGCCGCCGCCCUGGGGUGCUCCUACUCAUUCCUCUCCCCUGUGCCUUUCUCUCCGCUGCUGUGAACGGCCCUUUUAUCUCUUGGGUAGGUACAAAUGGAGCUGUCAGAUGCGAUCAGCCCUGUGAUAUGACAGGUUGCGGGAGCCGGGGCCCCUCAAACAGAGCAGCCUUGUCUGUCAGAGCUGCCUGACACUCCCCAUAAUGGCCAGAUGGAUGAGACUCUGAAAGUAGGGCCCGGCGCGUUUUCAACUCUAUUUUGGGUGAAAACACUUCUUGAAAGAUCUUGAAAGGAGCUGGCAGUUUAGUAGUUCAAAUGAUUAAUGAGCACUGGCUCUGCUGGGUGGAUUUCUCGCGCCGUGCCAGCAGCUGGGCUGCUCCAGCGGGCCAAGACACGCUGCUCUCCCCCCGGCUCCCCCCACGCCCCCCUGGUUUUCCCGGAAAUGACACCAACGCGACAGGCCCCGCAUAUGGAAAAAGUUAAAUAUAAAUUACUGCUGAAAGAGGCCUCGCUGAGCGGAGUUAGUUAAAGAUGUUUAUGGAUUCAGAAACACGGGCCUGCAUAUGUAUUUAGGGAUGACAAAUGUGAUUCAAUAAGUAAGGAAUUUCUCCGUGGGCUGAGGCGGGACCCGCGCGGAGCGGGCGCUGCUCUGGGCUCUCUGGCUUGGCUGCGCCAACGCCAUAAAUCCUGCAGACAGGCUCCUUUUUCCUUCCUGGGCAGCUCAGGGUUUAUUUUCUUUUUUUUUUUUGCUCCGGAUCACACCAAGUCACUGCGUCUCCUGCACUUGGGACGUGACAGUGCUGCUCCAUGCCUGGAUCCUCUGCAUGCAUCCCCCAGGGCGACUUCGGGGGGCUUGGGAAAACGUGAUGGAUGCUCCAUGCAGGUCACUGGGGACUGUGCUCUCCAUGCCGCCACUGGUGCCAGGCACGUCCCCGUCCCCAGGCUCUGCUGUCCGCCCGGAGAGCUGCGCUCAGCAGAGCAGCCGGACCCUUCAGGACUGUCAGCAGAUGAUUAAUGACCAACAACUCCAAAACUGCCCCAGUUGCCAGUUUGGGUGCUGUUUGACCCAGUGCGUAAUGAGUUCAGACAUGCUUCUGCAAGCCACUUCACAUGGGCAGCCGGGCACACUCAUGGAGCCUGGGGGGGCAGGGGCACGCGCAUGUCCCCCACCCAAACUGUCCUCUGCUCCCGCUGCUCUUUAGCAUCUCUCUUGGGGCACAUAACGUCAGGGGCCACAACAAACUCAUGCAAGAAACCCCUAAACUAAACUCCAGCUGCUGUGGCACAGGCCAGGGAGGGAUGCCGGAUCCAUGGCAGGGAUGCUGGGUCCAUGGCAGGGGUGCUGGAUUUGGGGCGACAAACCCCAGCAAACCUGCAGUGAUGGGCAGUGCAGGAGCCGGUCCCUCGGCUCCCCCCCAUCCCGCCACCUCCGUGGGCCUCGCAGGGAAGCGCCUUUCAGGGGGUCAGCGCCCGGCCGGGCUUUUGACAGACAGCCACAUUCCUUUGUCCUGAUUUUAUUCGUUAGCAAUAUUUGGCCUGGACACAGAGACAGCUAAUGAGGGACUGAGUUUAUUGCAGUUUGAUUUUUCUGUUAAAACAAUACAAUAAAAUAAAUGCACUUGGAAAUCUGGUAUGUGUUUGUACAUAGUAGAUUUAUGGCUCUGGAGGCUUCCAGAGAGAUGCAGCCUUUCAUUCCCUUCCUUAUUGGAACAGAUCAUAUUGCAGAGUUUAAAGGGCUCUGGAGUUGUGAUUUAUUUGAAGAGAGAAACUAGGGAAAUCCAACUAUCUGUUCCCUGGCUCAGAUCAUCCAGUAACUCCCCGGCCAAGGGGACGGAUCUGCACCUCCUCCACAGAUAUUUUUAUUUUUUUUUCCCUCCUGUCGCUUACAUUAUCCUGCUCUAAAUAUAUCACCAAGACAGGGCUGACUCCUGACCUGGGCUUCAGCACCUCACCAAGGCUUCCCCAGCCCUUCUUGGAAUCCCACAAAUAAAUCAUACUCCUGGAACCCUUUCUGAGCUCCUCUGUGCCACUCACGGGAUGGGACCUGCGCAGGGCCAGCCACUGCCUUGAUCCAGAGCAGAGAUCAUGGCAGAUAUCUUGUUUUUAUCUCUGGAAUCAGGUGAUAAAUCUAUGCCACCGGCAAGCCCUUUCCCCUCCCUCUCUGCUUUCCCAGCAUUUGCAGGGUCCCUGGGCAGAGGAGAGCCCAGCAGCUUGGAUCCAGGUCAGGAUUUGUGCCUGAAGGCCUUCUUCAUGCAAUUCCUAGCCCAUGGGGCCCUGCCUUGUUUCUGUGGCUCAGCUGGACCUGCUGAUUGUGGGAUGCUGCUGCGGUUCCUGCAUCUGAGUGGGAGCAUGCUCCGGGCCAGGGCUACGGCAGCCGCUUCCCUCCUGCCCUCGCAAAGGAAAAAUGUGUUUUGCCCCUCUCUGAGGUUUCCAGCACCGCAGGGAUGAAGCACUUCAGCACCAUUUGGGGGGACAAUCAGAGCAUGCACUGCGAUGGCUCAACAGUGCUGUUGUGGUGCACCCCACCCCAGCACCAUCCCAGUCAUCCCAGUGGUUCCCACUAGCAGGAAUAAGACGAGACUGUUCCCCGAGCCCAAAACCAGGCUUUUUCUGAAGUUAUUUGUUGUUUGCAGGCAGGAACUCUCCGGGUUUUGGUGCAAAACCUCUCCUGCUUCUCCCUGGUCCUAGGAACCUCUGGGACAUUUGGGAAUGACCAGUUUGGGUCCCGCCAGCAGCAUUCAUCCUUCCUUGUGCU